AAGAUCCCGUAUGGGUUUGUCUGAACGAUUCUUGAUGCUGGAGACCAAAUAUCCUAGACUGUGAACAGAAAACAAAGACCGUUCAUCAAACAGUAAGUCUUCUAUGGUCUGUUGCAUGUCUGGAGCAAUGCCAGAGUUCUGCAGCCAAGAAGGCCUCCUCAUUGUUUUUGCCAAGGCCAUAAUCCUAAAUGAGGUGUCAACCACAUGGAGCGCUGACUGCACUGAUGUCUAUGCCACUAGACAGCCCUCUGCCAGGAAAGCCUUGAACUCUUCCCUGACAUCCCCAGAUUCUGUUCUGGAUGUCCUGGCUUAUUCCACCAUCCUGGCUGAUGGUGCUGCCCAAGUAUGUGAACAUUUCUACAUUGGUAGCAAACAGGUCUAUAAGGGGAGUCCCCACCAUUGGAAGAUGCCCCUUGUGACGUCCGAUUGGAGAGACCACUUGUGAUGAGAGGAGAAAGACUUGCUGAGUUGAUUCAUCAGCUGGUUCUGCAUUCCCAGAAGGUAGAACGCUUGUAGACUGUACAAUGCAAAGCUCCCACAGCUGGAUUGCUUCCUGAUAUAGAGGGAAGAGAGUGCUCCACCCUGUCUGUUGAUGUAGAACAUGGCUGUUGUGUUGUCUGUCAGAACCAAAAUGAUCUUGUUUGUAAUGUGAAGUAGGAAUGCCUGACAGGCUAGGCUAAGUGCCCUGAGCUCCCUGACAUUAAUAUGGAGGGAAAGCUCUUCUUGAGACUAGAGGCCCUGAGUCCAGAGGGACCCUAAGUGGGCUCCCCAGCCUAGGACUGAUGUGUUGGAUACUAGUGACAUUGAUGGUUAAGGCUGCGAGAAGAGAACCCCUGCAUAUACUAUGCAGGGAUUCAGCCACCACAUAAGUGAAUCAAGGACCUGAGUGGGAACAGUGAGCACCAAGUUCAGGCGAAGAUGCAAGGGAGAGUAUUCCGUGGUCAACCAAGCUUGCAGAGGUUGGAGACAUAGCCUCGCAUAUUGCCCUAUGUAUCUGCAUGAAGCUUUCUGGCCCAGAAGGCUCAGACACUUUUGUGCCGUUGUGAUUGGGUGAGCCUGGAGGGACCUUAUCUGGGCAGUAAUUGACCAAAAACGAUCUUCCAAAAAGUAGAGCCCUCGUCUGCAAGGAGUCAAGAACUGCACCAAUGAACUCUAUCCUUUGGACAGGGACAAGGGUAGCUUUCUGUUCGAUUAUCAGUAGACAGGUCAAUUGGAUGAGAUGGAUGUCGGAUUCCACCUGAGCUCUCAACCAACUUCUGACUAGCUAGUCAUCAAGGUAUGGGAAUAUAUGAACUCCCUUUUUUCUGAGGAAAGCCGCCACCACCACCAUGCAUUUGGUGAAGAUCUGUGGGGUGGCUGACUGGCUGAACAGUAGAAUCACAAUCCAGAGGCAGCAGGUUUGUAUAAUUUUUGGUGGUGCCCAGAAUGGGUCCAAGUCCCCACACACACAUCUGCCUAAGGCUCUGGGAGGAAGUUUGGGUUUGGGAGGGGUGCAGGCUCUGGGAUGGAGUUUGG